rnacentral:lncRNA from 1 species
GCAGACCACAAUGCACCGCGCACAGCGUCGGUUGCCCGGGCGAUGCGCGGCACGCGUGCGGAGGCCCACACACCCUGAAGGCGGAGCCCCGGGUCGAGUGGCUGGCUCCCGGACCACCCAGCAGUCUGGAAGGAGGUGAGGGCGGGCAUUUUCCUCUCGGGGGCCCCACUGAGGUUAGCGCAGGGUGUGUUCUGGAAUCGCAGGUUCUAGAAGGCUGGGAGCUGCCGCCCCAGGUGCCGCCCAUUUCCACCAUCUCCCCCCACCCACCCGGGGUCCGCACGAUUUAUGGCCUUUGACAGGUGGCCUCGAGCUUAGCAAGGGUGAGCCAUCGAUGCAGUUGCACUCAGGGUCUCGUAGGGCUUGGUUCGAAGCUCUGCUGUCACAUUCCUGAAGUUUGUAAGUAAGUGCGUGUGUCUGAGGAGGCCCUGGGCUUGAGAGGCAAGUUCUACGUUCUGCCACUGAACCCUGUUUUCUUUCUUUUUCGUUUUUUCUGCCCGUGUCCUCCCCACCCUACCUUAGCAUCGUCUCCCUAAGUAGCCCCAGGAUGAUCUAAAGUUCGCAUUUCUUCUUGGCGCCUCCCCCAUGCGCCAUCACACCGGGUUAAAUUCCGAAUUUUAUAACAUGACACUACAUGCUUAUUUCGUACUGUAGCCCCUGUGUAGCUGGUACUGCCCUAGGAGACCGUAUACAUACUGAUAGCCUAAUGAUUGAAGGAGAAAUUCGGGAAAGGGAUCGCGUAUCCAGGAGGUAGAGCCUGUCUGCCAGGCAGUGGGGACCUCAAGAUCUGGAAUGUGGGUGGAUGCCCAGUGUGUACAGGUGAGGCUGCUUCCUCGGAUAGAAUGUCCAUUUGGGCAAAGUUUCUUGGCUGAGGAUUUAUUUAUACAAAGGAAGACGUAUCUUAAGAAAGUGAUCCUAAGAUGUGUCUCCUCUGGCAUUUAUGACUAAUCGUACCCACAUAAUAAAUAAAUAAAUAAAAAUAACAAAAUACUGGGCUACCCCUCAGUCAGUAGAGCAUUUGCUUGGUAUGAGUGAGGCCAGAGGCUGCAUAUUUGAUCCCCAGGAGGCUCCAGGAGGGAGUCAGAACACUGGAAGACAGGAACAGAAGGAUCAGAAAUUCAAGUCCAGCUUUGGAUAGAUGGCGCCAAGGCUAGCCUGGGCUACAUGAGAUCCUGUGUAAACUGCCCUCCCCCCCAAAAAAAUAAAUGAAAUAAAACGAGUCAGCAGCAGUGAGUGGGUGCUUGACCUCUGCUCAGCACCGUACCACUCACAACAGCUGUGUCUGAGAGGA